rnacentral:rRNA from 1 species
UGCCAGCAGCCGCGGUAAUACGGAGGAUCCAAGCGUAGUUCGGAAUUACUGGGCUUAAAGAGUUCGUAGGUGGUUGAAAAAGUUGGUGGUGAAAUCCCAGAGCUUAACUCUGGAACUGCCAUCAAAACUUUUCAGCUAGAGUUUGAUAGAGGAAAGCAGAAUUUCUAGUGUAGAGGUGAAAUUCGUAGAUAUUAGAAAGAAUACCAAUUGCGAAGGCAGCUUUCUGGAUCAAUACUGACACUGAGGAACGAAAGCAUGGGUAGCGAAGAGGAUUAGAUA